rnacentral:rRNA from 1 species
AUGAUGUGCUGGCCGUUCGCCGGGGAGCAGCAGACCAACUGUCGGUACAAGUACACCGAGUGGGGGAUCGGGAUUGAGAUCGGCGGCGAGGUGAAGCGGGCGGAAGUGGCGGCGAUGAUACGCGAGGCGAUGGUGGGGGGAAAGGGACGGGAGAUGAGGCGGCGCCCCGCGGAGUGGAAGGAAAAGGCCCAGCGUGCGUCGCUGCCAGGUGGGGCCGCGGAGGCCAACCUAGACGAGGUGAUUCGUAGCGUGCUCCUCGCAAGUACAACGCGCCUGCUAAAAAUCAGUCAACUGACAUUUAACUAA